rnacentral:misc_RNA from 1 species
GAUGAAGAACUUAGCGAAAUGCGAUAAGUAGUGUGAAUUGCAGAAUUCAGUGAAUCAUCGAAUCUUUGAACGCACAUUGCGCCCCUCGGUAUUCCGUGGGGCAUGCCUGUUCGAGCGUCAUUUAACCCCUCAAGCCUAGCUUGGUAUUGGGUGCUUGUCCCGCCUCUCGCGCGGCGACUCACCUCAAAGUCAUUGGCAGCCCGCAUCUCGCCGGCCGUGAGCGCAGCACAGACGCGCUCUUGGCAACGACGGAUCGGCUCUCCAAAAGCUUAUUUCAACCACUGACCUCGGAUCAGGCAGGGAUACCCGCUGAACUUAAGCAUAUCAAUAAGCGGAGGA